rnacentral:lncRNA from 1 species
UAAGUAUUGCAAGAGUGAAGAGCAGCUAGUAGAUAUACUGACAAAGGCACUCCCAAAGCAUAAGUUUUGUUAUCUCAGAAAUCUCAUUGGAGUUGUGAAGAAAGUGCAUUAAGGGGGAGUGUUGGAAGUUAAUGCACUUAGAACCUGUUUUAAUUACUGUUGUCUUUCCUAUGCAGUCCAAGUUGUAUGGUCAAUGUGUCUCUUCAUUUCUCUAUGAUCAUGUCUUCUCUCUUUAAUGUUUCAGAUAUGUUCAAUGUGUUUUAAGAAAAUUUGUAAGCCCUGCUGUCUUGUAAGGAAGUCUAAAAGACAUAAGAAAAAUCCCUUCAGAAUAUUGCCUUUGUUACCCUCUGCACAUCUGAUUUAUGAGCUCUGCUGUAGCAACUCAAGUUUGAUUAAAUCAGAAACUUUAUUCAGGUUCUUUAGACAAUCAACAGGGUUUUCUGAUGUCACAGCUAAGCUAACAGCUUCUAUCAUCGGAGGACACAAGGUUGUAGGACAAGAAUGAAAGUUGGAUAAAGGAAGUAGCGAAGGAGAAAG